AAUUUUUACUGUGAUAUUUUUUCAAAUCAUCAACGAUCGUUUUACUCUCUUUACAAAUUAUGUUUUGAGACAUUCGCCAUUUUCACAGCGACUAGAUAACUUGUCAAGACUGCUCUUUUUCCCUGUUCACUCUCACAUAUAUAUUUAACUGAAAAGUUCAAUAAAAUUGCAUAUACGAGGAGAACAGCAUUUGAUUUUUGUAUGACAAGAGAAAUGGCCGCAAAUUUUAGUUUUUGUGACAACAUCAUCAAGCUUUUAAUAAGCUUCACAUUUUUUAGAUGCUAUGUCUGGCCAAAUCAUAAUACCUAAACACGAAAGAACAUUUAACAAAAUAAUAG